rnacentral:rRNA from 1 species
ACGGCGUAGGAAUUCAUAGGAACGUACCCUCAGGACGGGGAUAGCUACGGGAAACUGUAGGUAAUACCCGAUGGUCUCCGCGGAGCAAAGGUGUGAUUCCGCCUGAGGAGCGGCUUAUGCGAUAUUAGCUAGUUGGUGGGGUAAUGGCCUACCAAGGCGAAGAUGUCUAGGGGGUGUGAGAGCAUGGCCCCCACGACCGGAACUGAGAUACUGUCCGGACACCUACGGGUGGCUGCAGUCGAGAAUCUUCCGCAAUGGACGAAAGUCUGACGGAGCGACGCCGCGUGCGGGAUGAAGGCCCUUGGGUUGUAAACCGCUUUCGGAGGGGAUGAAAUCCUCGAGGGUUCUCCCUCGAGGUUGACAGAGCCUCAAAAGAAGCACGGGCUAAGUACGUGCCAGCAGCCGCGGUAACACGUACUGUGCGAACGUUAUUCGGAAUCACUGGGCUUAAAGGGUGCGUAGGCGGCGAUUCAAGUCAGAUGUGAAAUGCCUGAGCUCAACUGAGGCAUUGCGUUUGAAACUGAAUUGCUAGGGUAUUUCAGGGGUGUGCGGAACUGCCAGUGGAGCGGUGAAAUGUGUUGA